rnacentral:misc_RNA from 1 species
GAUGAAGAACGUAGCGAAAUGCGAUAAGUAGUGUGAAUUGCAGAAUUCAGUGAAUCAUCGAAUCUUUGAACGCACAUUGCGCCCCAUGGCAUUCCGUGGGGCAUACCUGUUCGAGCGUCAUUUCAACCUUCGGGCGGUCCUUUGGUCCGUCUGGAUUUGGGUGUCGUCUAAUGACGUGCCUUAAAAGAAUUGGCGGUGUAGGUGCCGGCUUCGAGCGUAGCAGAUGCGAUUCGCUUUGGAAGCUGGCGUGCUCACCUUGCCAGAAAAGUCUCUGAAGAGCUGACCUCGGAUCAGGUAGGGAUACCCGCUGAACUUAAGCAUAUCAAUAAGCGGAGGA